CCCUUAGAUGUUCUGGGCCGCACGCGCGCUACACUGAUUCAUGCAACGAGUUUUGUCCUUGGCUGAAAGGCCUGGGUAAUCUUUGAACGUGAAUCGUGCUGGGGAUAGAUGAUUGCAAUUAUUCAUCUUCAACGAGGAAUUCCUAGUAAACGCAAGUCAUCAGCUUGCAUUGAUUACGUCCCUGCCCUUUGUACACACCGCCCGUCGCACCUACCGAUUGAAUGGUCCGGUGAAAUCUUCGGAUCUGAGAGAUGUUGGAUUAAUCUCUGACGCCUUUUGGAAAAGUCGCUUAAACCUUAUCAUUUAGAGGAAGGUGAAGUCGUAACA
rnacentral:rRNA from 1 species